AUUGAACGCUGGCGGCAGGCCUAACACAUGCAAGUCGAACGGUAACAGGAAGAAGCUUGCUUCUUUGCUGACGAGUGGCGGACGUGUGAGUAAUGUCUGGGAAACUGCCUGAUGGAGGGGGAUACCUACUGGAAACGGUAGCUAAUACCGCAUAACGUCGCAAGACCAAAGAGGGGGACCUUCGGGCCUCUUGCCAUCGGAUGUGCCCAGAUGGGAUUAGCUAGUAGGUGGGGUAACGGCUCACCUAGGCGACGAUCCCUAGCUGGUCUGAGAGGAUGACCAGCCACACUGGAACUGAGACACGGUCCAGACUCCUACGGGAGGCAGCAGUGGGGAAUAUUGCACAAUGGGCGCAAGCCUGAUGCAGCCAUGCCGCGUGUAUGAAGAAGGCCUUCGGGUUGUAAAGUACUUUCAGCGGGGAGGAAGGGAGUAAAGUUAAUACCUUUGCUCAUUGACGUUACCCGCAGAAGAAGCACCGGCUAACUCCGUG
rnacentral:rRNA from 1 species